CAGUAGCCGCGGGAACACGGAGGGGGCUAGCGUUGUUCGGAAUUACUGGGCGUAAAGCGCACGUAGGCGGCUUGGUAAGUUAGAGGUGAAAGCCUGGAGCUCAACUCCAGAAUUGCCUUUAAGACUGCCGAGCUAGCAGGUGAGAGAGGUAAGUGGAAUUCCGAGUGUAGAGGUGAAAUUCGUAGAUAUUCGGAAGAACACCAGUGGCGAAGGCGGCUUACUGGCUCAUACUGGACGCUGAGGUGCGAAAGCGUGGGGAGCAAACAGGAUUAGAUACCCGCGUAGUCCCUGUCUCUUAUAC
rnacentral:rRNA from 1 species